rnacentral:rRNA from 1 species
GACGAACGCUGGCGGCGUGCUUAACACAUGCAAGUCGAACGAAGUGGCGCACGGGUGAGUAACGCGUAAUCAACCUGCCCUUCAGUGGGGGACAACAGUUGGAAACGACUGCUAAUCCCGCAUACUGAAGGCGGGGAUUGCGUCUGUUUAGCUAGUUGGUGGGGUAACGGCCCACCAAGGCGAUGAUAAGUAGCCGGACAGAGAAGAGGAACGGACAAAGUGGGAAUGGGACACGGACCAGACCAGUACGGGGGGCAGCAGUGGGGAAUCUAGCGCAAUGGACGAAAGUCUGACGGAGCAACGCCGCGGGAGGGAUGACGGGCUUCGGGUGGUAAAGCUCUGUUAAUCAGGACGCGGUACCGGAAUAGAAAGCCACGGCUAACUACGUGCCAGCAGCCGCGGUAAUUC